rnacentral:rRNA from 1 species
UACGUAGGGGGCAAGCGUUGUCCGGAAUCAUUGGGCGUAAAGCGCGUGUAGGCGGGUCGGUAAGUCCGCUCUGAAAGUCCAGGGCUCAACCCUGGGAUGCGGGUGGAUACUGCCGACCUAGAGUCCGGAAGAGGCGAGUGGAAUUCCCGGUGUAGCGGUGAAAUGCGCAGAUAUCGGGAGGAACACCAAUGGCGAAGGCAGCUCGCUGGGACGUGACUGACGCUGAGACGCGAAAGCGUGGGGAGCAAACAGG